GCAUUGGUGGUUCAGUGGUAGAAUUCUCGCCUUCCACUCGGGUUCGAUUCUCGGCUAAUGCA
rnacentral:tRNA from 14 species